rnacentral:rRNA from 1 species
UACGAAGGGUGCUAGCGUUGUUCGGAAUUACUGGGCGUAAAGCGCGCGUAGGCGGCUAUUCAAGUCAGGGGUGAAAUCCUUGGGCUCAACCCAAGAAUUGCCCUUGAAACUGCAUAGCUAGAGUACUGGAGGGGAUAGCGGAAUUCCUAAUGUAGAGGUGAAAUUCGUAGAUAUUAGGAGGAACACCGGUGGCGAAGGCGGCUAUCUGGACAGUAACUGACGCUGAGGCGCGAAAGCACGGGGAUCAAACAGG